CAGUCGCCGCGGUAAGACAGAGGAUGCAAGCGUUAUCCGGAAUGAUUGGGCGUAGAGCGUCUGUAGGUGGCUUUUCAAGUCCACCGUCAAAUCCCAGGGCUCAACCCUGGACAGGCGGUGGAAACUACCAAGCUAGAGUACGGUAGGGGCAGAGGGAAUUUCCGGUGGAGCAGUGAAAUGCGUUGAGAUUGGAAAGAACACCAACGGCGAAAGCACUCUGCUGGGCCGACACUGACACUGAGAGACGAAAGCUAGGGGAGCAAAUGGGAUUAGAUACCCCAGUAGUCCCUGUCUCUUAUAC
rnacentral:rRNA from 1 species